rnacentral:lncRNA from 1 species
UCUGAUGUGGGCAGCCAUCAGAUCAUGCCUCUUGGCCUAAGGAGGUGUCAAAAUAAAUAGAGUCCAAAGAGAUAAGGGCUCUUACCUAACUUGGCGUGGAGGAACAUGGAGAGUCCUUCCUAGUUGAGUUUAAGACCCAUGUGGCACAUCAUCAAACCCUCUAUCAUCCUAGCACACGUUUUAAGGUGUUUGAUGGCCUGAUAUGGCAUGGAAGGGGAAGAAA